UUUAUCUGUAGCAACAUUCUGAAGUAGCUCGGUGAUGUUUUUGUAGAGGGGUCGACUCCAAAUCAGUAGAAUCUCGGAGAAAUCAAGCAAUAAAGAAAGCAAAAGCAGCCAAUCGUCCUCCAAAAUAACCCACCGAACUCAAAAAUCCAGAAUUAAAGAUGAUUUAACGAUGAAACAGCAGAUCAAUCAACCCAAGUAAAGCUAGAGUUUCUUUGUGAGAUGACAAUGCAAAUAGAGGGAGGGAACAUUGAUCAGGAUGGAUAGAGGGAGCCAGCCAUGAGUAAAAUUCACGGCCAUUUUCACUCCAGCACAAUUUUUUUUUUUUAUGAGAGAGUGGCUGUUGUGAAGAAAGAAAAAUAGGGGAGAAAAUGAGAGCGAGUCUAAAAGAGAUCAGCUUUGCCACUGUGGUUUUGAUCCCUCGCCGUGCUCGUUGUUAUCCGAUUCCCAAUUCCACGAUCCCUCGAGCUCAAGAUGUGCCAAAUAUUUAUAAAUGUAGAGGAUUCAAAGACUUACAGCUAAAGAGAGAGAUGCAUAUGCCAUUCCAUACGUAUCGCAAACAUCUGGGCUUCCUAAUGGGCUGCCUUUCUCUUUACACAUUGCAGCCUUUACCAGCCGAACAAGAUGCCAAAAUUACGCCCCUUAAAUGAGGAGGAGAGCUCGUGACCUGAAUGACAAUCCACCCAAGUGCCGAACCAAUAACAAAGUUGAGUACGAGACUGACUGGCAUAAACCACCUGCAUUAUUUGUGAAAAAGAAGGAUGUUCACACGACUAGUUGCUGAAAUUGAUCCCACCGCAGUUAGAAGAAGAACAUUCAGCACUGGCAUUGAUGCAGUGAGAAAGAGCCCUAAAAGACCCAUGAUGAAGAUGCUUCGGCCAUGUCGACGAGGAGAUCACGCCUCACGAGGAGCCGUUCGGCUACUCAGUCACCUGAGAGGGAGCGUCUAUCUUUUACCGGUAAGCC